AAAAAAUUAACAUCAUCUUUAAAUAUACUGCAUUCUUUGUUUAUGGUUUUCUAAGUUUCACUUUCACUAAACAUAGUUUUGAAUGUGCUGCAAGUGUUUUCGUUUUCGCUUUCCAAGUUUUCGUUUGCGCUUCGCAAAUUUACGUUCUCCAUUUUGACACAAACCUCUCGUGAGGGGCGGGCUUAACACCGGUUCGCUCUUAUUGGCUUGUGAGAUUUUGAUUGACAGCUCAUUGAACCAGAACCCCGGAACAGAAGGUGGCGGUAGUGCACAAAUAAGCUUGAUGCCAACCGCUUUUAACAAUAACAAGAAGAAGACGAUCGGACUCUGGAGCUGCAAGAAGUCUAAACAAACGGUAAUAAGAGUAUAUUAAAGAACAUUAAUGACAAAACACGGAUAUUUUACACAUCAGCAGAAGAAUAACAAUAGUUCAAGAUGAGUAAUCGGGAGGCUCACGGUAUGGAGCAUCAACACCAUCCUCCUCGGCCGGACAAUUGAGGCAGCAUGAGGACCAAAGAGUGUCAUUUCUCCAGAAUUGAGCCUCUAUGGUGUGAUGUUUGGUCAGCCGUCUCUUGUACUAUGAAGAACUGCAAUGGAAGAAGUGACAGUGCUUGAUUCGGCAGGUGAACUGCACCUAUUUUAUGGUGGAACAACUUUUUUAAGAGGACAUUGUUGACAUUGUCACAGAGGAUGAUGGUGUGGUCGUGGUGCCAGAGAUCUAUUGUCCUUUGUCUGACCAAAAGCCUUUGAUAUCACCUUUGAAUGUCCAGGAGUUAUACCAACAGACACUCGAUGUCAUCCAAAGACUCCGCUCCAUUUAAAUUGUAAAAGUCAUUUUUAUGUUUGAAAGAUGAAGUUGGUUCACAGAUGUACUUUUCCUUUAAAACAAUUUCCCAUUUGUAAUCACAAUGGAGACACAUCUCUGACUGCUGGGCUUCCCCUCUUAUUGUGUUCUGAUUCAUAUGCAUCUGCAGGGUUAUUCAUGCCAACACUUUAUACCGUUGUGCUGGUAAUUUAUCUUUAUAUAUCAUGCCUUCUCACUGCGUCUGCCAGCCGGUGCUUUACAUAUCUGAGAGUCAACGCAGCUGAACAUGAAGGACAAAUGCAAUGCAAGACGUUAUGCAUGUUAUAUAUCGGCAUAUGGAUGAUUAGAUUAGAAACUGCUUUCUGUUGGUGUGUUUAAACAUCACAUGACAUAGAAAAUGUACUGUCUUCCAUUUUCUGUUGUGUAAUAAUUCAUAGGAAAAUCACUUUAAACCAUUCAAUCAUUUAUUUUGAGAAAUAACUUUUUGUAACAAAAGUAUUUAAGACUUUUUAAACCAUUUAGUAGCAUGUACAAUCACAAGUGUUUUUUGUCAUCCUCAUCCCAUCUCCAUGUUGUUUCUUUAUUCUGCUGAACACAAGACAUUUUAGAAAAAGAAGACAUUUUAAUAAAUGAUGGUUAGCACACAUGAGACUGUACCCAUUGACUUCCUUAGAUAUUAUUUGUACUUUAGACGUCAAUGGGUACACUCUCCUGUGUGCCUAACACCAUUUAUCAAAAUAUCUUCUCAGCAGAAUAAAGAAACUUAAACAGGUUUACAACAACAUGAGGCUGAGUAAAUGAUAACAGAAUUUUCAUUUUUGGGUGAACUAUCCCUUUAAGACUCUGUAAACCAUUCAGAUGCAUGUAAAAUCAUUAACAACUGUUAAACAGCAUCUAUAAAUGAUAAAAAAGACAUUACUAUUGGGAGAAACA